rnacentral:rRNA from 1 species
AUUGAGCGCUGGCGGCAGGCUUAACACAUGCAAGUCGAGCGGGGGAAGGUAGCUUGCUACCGGACCUAGCGGCGGACGGGUGAGUAAUGCUUAGGAAUCUGCCUAUUAGUGGGGGACAACAUCUCGAAAGGGAGGCUAAUACCGCAUACGUCCUACGGGAGAAAGCAGGGGAUCUUCGGACCUUGCGCUAAUAGAUGAGCCUAAGUCGGAUUAGCUAGUUGGUCGGGUAAAGGACUACCAAGGCGACGAUCUGUAGCGGGUCUGAGAGGAUGAUCCGCCACACUGGGACUGAGACACGGCCCAGACUCCUACGGGAGGCAGCAGUGGGGAAUAUUUGACAAUGGGGGGAACCCUGAUCCAGCCAUGCCUCGUGUGUGAAGAAGGCCUUAUGGUUGUAAAGCACUUUAAGCGAGGAGGAGGCUACUCUAGUUAAUACCUAGGGAUAGUAGACGUUACUCGCAGAAUAAGCACCGGCUAACUCUGUGCCAGCAGCCGCCGUAA